rnacentral:rRNA from 1 species
UCCUACGGGACGCAGCAGUGGGGAAUAUUGCACAAUGGGGGAAACCCUGAUGCAGCGACGCCGCGUGAAGGAUGAAGUAUUUCGGUAUGUAAACUUCUAUCAGCAGGGAAGAAAAUGACGGUACCUGACUAAGAAGCCCCGGCUAACUACGUGCCAGCAGCCGCGGUAAUACGUAGGGGGCAAGCGUUAUCCGGAUUUACUGGGUGUAAAGGGAGCGUAAACGGUAUGGCAAGUCUGAUGUGAAAACCCGGGGCUCAACCUCGGGACUGCAUUGGAAACUGUCGGCCUAGAGUGCCGGAGAGGCA